UUUAUUUUUUGUUUUGAGUGCACAUUUUGAUCAUCUAAGAUCAACCUCGCUAGAAUUUUCAUCUGUUAUUGUGUACAGUUUUACUCACAAAACAUGGCAUUCCACACAUCUAUUAUGGCAGACUAAGAUUCAGAUCCAUUACAGACAGGCUUACAACUUACAAAAAGAUCGUCUCAGACAUAGAAUUCAAGAAACAUCAGUAUUUACAAUGAGACAUGCUACUCACUACUAAUUAAGUUCCAGAUCUCAGCUGCCGCUGGUGCCAGAGCUAACACUAUCACUACUGAGUAAUCUCACGUCCAUUUAGCUGUUCGUCAAGUAUUUGAGAUGGCCAUGAAUCUGAAGGUGAUGGAUAGCGAGGACGCGGUUUCUUCACAUUGGAGAGAGAAGCAUUGCAUUGAAAAUCUUCCGCUGUAUCAUUUUGGGAUCCUUUGUGGUAAAUAGGAGAAUCAUGAUGUAAAGGCACAACAAAGAUGGGAGCAACAACCGAAGAUGAUAGUAGUUGGUGAUCAGUGGAAGGCAGUCUCAAACUAUCUUCUUGCAGUUCUGAAGCAGCAAUGGGGCUUUGUGAAGGCCAAAUAUUUAAGUUCACUGACGACUGGGAUUGAGUCCUCUCUGUGAUCUCACUCUGAAGCUUCUCCACCUGAGAUUUGAGAGCGGAGUUUUCUUCAAUGAGCUCAUUCUUCUCAACAGCGACCUGUUUGGUAAUCAUGAAACAUUAACUUCAUCAAACAAAUAUGAUUGCCAUCUGGAAUCCCCACGUUGCCAUUCACAAACACAGUAGAAAUAAAAAAAAAAUUUUGCUCAAAAAAUUUAUCAUGGUGCUUAAAAGUAACCAAGAAAGCAAUACAAAUUCAUAAGCGUGCAAGAUUAACUCAGUCAUCGAAUUGCAUCAGUUCUGUAAAGUGAAUAGAAAUGGAUUUCAGAUUAAGCAAAAGCAAGCUCAGUUUGAAGGAGCUCACAUAAUGAGAUUCGGAUAAAAGAGCAGCAUUAUCCUUUUUGAGACUGUAAACCUGAGCAAGUAGAUCCUUAAGCAGUCGAAUGGUAUCAUUCACAAUGCAGGCCUUUCCACUGGACAGCUGAGCUGGUUCUGCAUAAAAAGACAGGAACCUGUAAUUAAAGGGAAGUUGAGAAUCCUAGUAAGUUUGUAAUGAAGAAACUAACAUAGCCAAAUAGUAUUUGGCUCCAAAUUAUUUGUUUGCGUCACAAACACAAUUUCUAACACAGAUUUUUAUCUUCCUAAUCAUCUUUUUAUCUCACAUAUGUCACAUCACAAAAAGUGCUACAGUAAUUAUUCCAAAUAAUAUUUCAAAUAAUCUCCUAUCCAAACACAAUCAAAGACGUCGGUUAUGCUAUACACCAAGCACAACAUUACAGAAUUUAGACCUAAGACAGGAGGAAGGAGAAUUAUACCAAUAGCUUUCCUGAGCUCUACAAAUAGGACGUUCAUGUGGUCACGUUUCUUCUUCUCCCUCUCUGCUUUAUGAAUUCUUUUAGAAGGUUUCCCCUGCUUCUUUUUGCUGGAGGAAUGCCUGAUGCAAAUUGUUUCAAGAAAGAUCCACAAAAAUGAGGUCAACAGGUUCCACAUCCUCGCAGAAAGAUAACAGUCACUUGGAUUCUGAAUGACAAUUGCAUAAAUAUCGGGGAACCUCAUAAUAUUAUGCUUACGGUUCCAUAGAAUGCAAUUGUCACAGUAAAAAUGCACCUUCUCUGGUGCAACUCAACAAGCUUUCCCAGAUCUAUGUCAAGGCAUCCCAAUCAUACUAAGCAAUGCUAUUUCUGACUCAAGAACUAAGGUGGAAAAAGGACUCAUGAUACAAAAAGCUAAUGAUUGCCCCAAAAAAUUUGACGGGGUAGGUAGUUAAAUCAUACAUAAAUGAGAACAAAAGUGCUAAAGGAAACAAACCUAUGGACUGCAUUGCCCUCGUCACCGUCUGGAAUAGCAGUUUCUGAAGCCAUACUCUGGUCUCUAGGUCACUUAAACCCAAUUCAAUAGCCUUUAACCUUUUUUUAUAACCUGCUAUAAACCCAAACAAUACAGAAGCAAAAAAAAAAAACCAAGAUAAUGCAGCAGAAAACAGAAACAAGAGCAAAAACUUCAACUAAGUAACAGAAAAAAUAAGUAUAGGGAAAGUCAGCCGAUGCAUAAGUAAUUACUAUAAACAGGUUUCAGUCUUUAGAAGUAUUAAAGUAUAAUUGAUAAUAAACACGGCAAAUAUAAAAAAUUACAUUUUUUCUAAAAGUCGUCGGAUCAUGGGAAAAGAUAAAAAAAAAAAAACAAAGAAGGAAAAUGCAAGAAUGGUUGAACGUAGGUUUUAAUUUUAUCGGACAAACAGCACACACGUACCUUGUGGUUGAGUGGAGAAUGAAAGAGAGAGGGUAAGCAAAUUAUUGGCGGAGUUGCACGGUAGAAACGGGGGAUGGAGUCGCCUUUCCACGCGACGGCGUGUGGCUGCCACCUUCAUCUUACAUGCGGUCCAACCCGACCACGUAAGCUUUGUCUCAAUUGUCUUUGACGAUGAUGGCCUUGCUACUCAACUUCUUGUUUAUAAGUUUUUCCUUCAUGAGUUUAAUUUUGACGAAAAUGAUUUACAUAUUUCACACCAAGUCCAGUUCGGAUGAUCAGAUGGACUCUUUCGUGCAGGAGUAAUUGAUUAAUUUCACUUGGCACGGCAAGCCUCUUCUCCUGUUGAUGUGAAUAGACUCAAUAGAGUUGAAGCCCACCGUAUAAUUUUGCAAGGUCAAUCUUUUCGAGCGUUGAUUCUGUCCACUAUGGAGAAUUUUAAUUGUUGCAAUAAAUUGCAUUCAUCAAGCCCCUGUAAAUAUCAACUUUCGACUUUUGCUCUGUGUAUUUGAAGUGAUUUGAUAACAUCAAUAAAUCAUUAAGUUUUUCUAUAAUAUUGACGACACUGUAUGCAUUAUUGGGAUGCGUUUUUGAUUGGACAUGAUGUCCAUGUAUAAAACCCUUGUCAACAGAAAUGGUUUAACUUGUAAAUUCUCCAAAUUAAAUUUUAAUAACAUGUUUGGAUAGUAAAUUUUUUUAAAAAAAUUUUUCGCUUGCAUCAUAAAUAUAUUUUUCAAUUCAACUUUUUAUAUUUUCAAUCACUUUUUUAUCUCACAUACAUCAUUUUACAAAAAAUUGUUACAGUAUUAUUCCAAAUAAUUAUUUGAAAUAAUGCUCCAUCCAAACAAAGCCAAGUUGCAUCAAAUUAAUUCGUCAAAAAGACAUGCUUUUCAUUAAUUAGUGUAUUUUUUUUUGGAGAAGAUAACUGUUGUAUAACCCAUUUUAAAAGAAGGGAAAGGACUAAAGAGACCAAAGAUAAUUUGAAGAAAAUUGAACCAUCACCGAACCCUUUUGAAUUUUUUAAACAGAGUUACUUAAUAUAGCAAUUGAUAAAUCAUCGACCUCCCAAGAAAAACUUUUCUUGUCUAUAUAUUUCAUAAUAAUCUUUAAUAGAUCUACUUCAACAUUGACUCUGGGAAAGAAGGGGUAGGACUAAACUUUGCCAUUUUUAUAGUUGGAAUAGUUAGAUGCCCAAUAAAUAAAGGGUUAUUAUCACUUUACCCCUUAAACUAUAUCACUACUAUCAGUUUACCCCCUAACAUUAUCUUUUAGUUACUUUACCCCUAUAAGUAAUUCAAAUUUUGGACAAAAAUACCCUUUUAUUUUAUAGCAUUACUACAUUAUUAUUAACACUUUAUUUGUUUAGAUUAUAGUGAUACAAUCACUUUAGUUCCUAACAUUAUUUUGUAGGCAUUUUACCUCAUCGUUAUCUAACUAGUAUGGUGAAAAUUUUUUAAAUAUAGUAACCUUUUUUAUAUAUACUUAAAAAUAAAAAAGUUGGAAUGGUUAUUCUUCCUUUUUUUUCACUUUAAGAGAUUGAAAAACAUAAAAAUAAAAAGGGUUUUCUCAAAUUUCUUUUUUUCACAUUUAUUAAUACUAGAAAAAUAAAAAGAGAUAGGAAAGAAGGAGACAAAAAAUUAGAUUUUGCAAAAAAAGAAAAUAAAGAAAAGUCUAACAUUAUUGUAUUACUUUAAAGUUGUCGAAAUUAGGAUUGGAAUUUGGCAGUAAACAAAAAAGUGAACUAAUUUUAAAAUAUAUAAAAGUAUUUAAUUCUUUCUUAUUUGUAAUUUUUAAAAAAGAAUUGAGCUCUCUCUCUCUCUCUCUCCUCUCCCCCUUCCAUCUUUCUAUUUUUUUUUCAAUAUUAAUAAGAUUGUCAAGAAGAAAGAAAUUAAUAUUUGACCUUUUUUCUUGAUACUAAAAAGGAGAAGAGUCACUCUAAAUUUUUAUUAUUUUUAUUAUGCGAAGAGGAGGGUAUUUUCUUUAAAGUUUUUUAAUUUGCUAAGUUGGUUUAAUGGUAGGAUAAAUUGCCUAAACAAUGACUGUAGGGGGUAAAUUGAUAAUGAGACUAUAUUUUAUGGGGAUAAGGUAAUAAUAAUUUUAAGGUUAAACAUGUCUUUUCACUUUAAUUAACAAACUCCGUUAAGUUUGACCGUUAGUUUGGGGUUAAAGUGACUAAAAGAUAACAUUAAGGGGAAAGUGAUAGUGGCACCAAACGUUAAGGGGUAAAGUGAUAAUAACCCUUAAAUAAAUGACUAUAAGAACACUUAUCUAUAUAUUUUGCUGUUUCAGGUAAGUCUUCUUUUGGGAACUAUAAUACGGAAAAUUCCUUUGCCUACUGUGGAUGCAUCAAAGUCUAAUGCUUUGAUGGCAAUGGUGAUUAUGUAUCAGUGUCUGAUGGGGUGCUUGAUAUGAAGCAACUGAGACAAUUGGAAGCCACUUUUUGGAAGUCCUUCUGAAAAUGAAGCAUAAUGGUGCAAUUGAUAAAACAAGGGCUGGAUUCACUGCUCUUUGCAAUCGUUUACUUUGUUCGAACAAUCCGAGGUUUGCUCAUUGAGCUCUCCUAAGUAUUUUGCGGUUAUCAAUCUUUGUGGUGUCAUGUUUAAUUAUGUCAAGAAGAGUCAUUUUUCUUUGUUAACUGCUACAACCCAUGGCAUCUUGUGAGCUACUUUUGUAAUACUUUGAUUAGGGAAUAUGGUGGAAAUAUGAAAUGAAUUAAAAAGCCGAAUUUGGUUGAAGAGUUCUCAUCCUUAUUGAACUAUUUGGUUUUUGUUGACCAUUCUGCUUAGUAUUAUUAUCUCUCUCCUGUGGAAAAUUGUUCUCAAUGUCAAUGAACUCCUUGUGAACUGAGAAUUAAUGCAUGCUUCUUGCUAAUUAAGAUAUAGAGGUAAGUAAGUGUUAAUAAAAUCUAUGACCAUCAAAUAAUAUGUUUUCCUUAAUCAGUUUUGUAUAGGACAUUUGCCAGAACAAAUACAUUAGUAUAGUAGUUUCGAACUUUAGGUUGUGUUUCUGUAUUUGAUGCUACUUAUUGUCAAGGCUAAUAUCCAUUGCAUAUUUUUGAGUGCCUUUAUUUUUUGAAUGUUUUGCCAUUCAAUGUACACAGCUAGCUAUACAUUCCUAAUCUUGUUCCUAGGCACAGUAACAAUUACCACAAACUGUCUUUUAUUUGGCUAGAGGGCUGAUUAUUAGUCUGUUACUUGUCUACCUAUGACUGGCAUCUGUAAGAUCUUCCUUGUUUCUUUGCUUUUAACUUGCCUGUUUGUUUGACAAGUUAAAAAACUUAACUUUUUCAAGUUUGAAAUGUGAGUUGGAAGCUGUUUAAGCUGUUUCUUCACGACAACCUUAAUGGAGAUUUAACAGCAUAGGAUUUACUUGUAAUAGCAGUCUUAAGUUUCUGCCCCUAUGCCAACUUUUGGAUCCUUUAAGUUGGUCAUUUUGAGUCUAUUGCAUAAUGUUGCUUCUCUUGUCACAGACUUUGCAAAUUAACAGAAUCCUGGAUGGCAGCAGAAUUUCUUUUCUUAAACCCAAAGACAGCAAGCCUUCCAUCCUCUUUGGAGCUUAGCCUGCUGAAGGAAGCUGUGCCAUUGAAUAUGAGAUGUUGUUCUACUGCUUUUCAGAUGAAAUGGACCAGUAUGUUUAGGAAGUUUUUCUCUCGUGUUCGAACUGCCUUGGAGAGACAAUACAAGCAGGGAAACUGGUAUCCUUAUGGGUCAGAAGCUAACGUUGGAGUUGCAUCCAGAAAUGGAACCAGAGAAAUAGUAGUAGAAAUGGCAGAUGAUCUGUUUAAUCUAAUGAAGUGGUUGAGUUACUUUUUUUUCUUCUCUUGCUACCCUUCUGCUCCUUAUGAGAGGAAGAUAAUGGCCAUGGAGCUUAUAUUGGUAAUGUUGAAUGUCUGGUCUGUCAUGCCACCAUCAAAAGAAAAUCAUUGUGCUCUUUCUUCUGAAACAAGUCUGUAUCCUUACAGUAAGGGCUUUAUUUUAGCUGAUUCAGCCUUGCUACUGGUUGGAUCGAUUAUUGAUAGCUGGGAUCGUUUGAGAGAGAAUUCGUUUCGUAUUCUACUGCAUUUUCCUACCCCGCUUCCUGGCAUUUGUAGUCCAGAUGAGAUCCGAGUAGCAAUUAUAUGGGCAAAGAAGCUAGUCUGCAGUCCACGUGUGAGAGAAUGUGAUGCUGGAGCUCUGACUUUACGUCUUAUAUUUAGAAAGUAUGUCUUGGAGCUUAAUUGGAGUGUUCAAUUGUCACUUGAUUUUGUCUCUUGUCAUGGCCAGGUAGAGCUGCCAGAUCGCAGGCUUGAAAUUCUUACACAUCGCUCGCCUGCAGUAGAAUAUGUGAGGUCGCUGGUUGAUUGGUUGCUCAUUACUGUGGAAGAUGGUGAGAAGGAUCUUUCAGAAGCAUGCAAGAAAAGCUUUGUUCAUGGUGUCCUGCUUACUCUUCGAUAUACAUUUGAGGAACUGGAUUGGAAUUCCACAGCCGUUUUGUGCUGUAUUGCUGAGAUGAAACUUGUAUUGGAGAAGCUAUUGGAAUUAAUUAUGCGAAUAACCUCUCUCGCCCUAUGGGUAGUCUCAGCAGAUGCAUGGCAUUUGCCAGAAGACAUGGAGGACAUGGUGGAUGAUGAUCGUUUUGACAAGGAAGUUAUGUCUAAGGUUGCAGUGGAAAAUGUGAUGGAGAAUGAGAAGCUUGUGCAAGAUGCCAGGUCAUCAGAACAGAUUGUUAUGGUUGGUUGCUGGCUUGCUAUGAAAGAGGUAUUUUCGGAGUUUUCUCUGCAUUGAUAUUGUUUGUUCUGGAAAUGCAUAUAAAACUGGCAAUGUCACUGCCCUUGUUGUUGCUGAUACUCGUUCUUAUUUUGAUGUAAGGUUAUCAAAUAAGCGUCAUAGAAUCUCCAUAGUAGUAAUCAAUAGGUCUACUUCAACACUGAGUGUGGGAAAGAAGGGGUAGAAUUAAACUUUGCCAUUUCUAUAAUUGGAAUACCUAGAUGCUCAAUAAAUAGAUGACCAGAAAAACUUUUCUUGUCUAUAUAUUUCAUAAUAAUCUUUAAUAGAUCUACUUCAACAUUGACUCUGGGAAAGAAGGGGUAGGACUAAACUUUGCCAUUUUUAUAGUUGGAAUAGUUAGAUGCCCAAUAAAUAAAGGGUUAUUAUCACUUUACCCCCUUAAACUAUAUCACUACUAUCAGUUUACCCCCUAACAUUAUCUUUUAGUUACUUUACCCCUAUAAGUAAUUCAAAUUUUGGACAAAAAUACCCUUUUAUUUUAUAGCAUUACUACAUUAUUAUUAACACUUUAUUUGUUUAGAUUAUAGUGAUACAAUCACUUUAGUUCCUAACAUUAUUUUGUAGGCAUUUUACCUCAUCGUUAUCUAACUAGUAUGGUGAAAAUUUUUUAAAUAUAGUAACCUUUUUUUAUAUAUACUUAAAAAUAAAAAAGUUGGAAUGGUUAUUCUUCCUUUUUUUUCACUUUAAGAGAUUGAAAAACAUAAAAAUAAAAAGGGUUUUCUCAAAUUUCUUUUUUUCACAUUUAUUAAUACUAGAAAAAUAAAAAGAGAUAGGAAAGAAGGAGACAAAAAAUUAGAUUUUGCAAAAAAAGAAAAUAAAGAAAAGUCUAACAUUAUUGUAUUACUUUAAAGUUGUCGAAAUUAGGAUUGGAAUUUGGCAGUAAACAAAAAAGUGAACUAAUUUUAAAAUAAUAAAAGUAUUUAAUUCUUUCUUAUUUGUAAUUUUUAAAACAAGAAUUGAGCUCUCUCUCUCUCUCUCUCCCUCUCCCCCUCUCCAUCUUUCUAUUUUUUUUUCAAUAUUAAUAAGAUUGUCAAGAAGAAAGAAAUUAAUAGUUUGACCUUUUUUCUUGAUACUAAAAAGGAGAAGAGUCACUCUAAAUUUUUUAUUAUUUUUAUUAUGCGAAGAGGAGGGUAUUUUCUUCUAAAGUUUUUUAAUUUGCUAAGUUGGUUUAAUGGUAGGAUAAAUUGCCUAAACAAUGACUGUAGGGGUAAAUUGAUAAUGAGACUAUAUUUUAUGGGGAUAAGGUAAUAAUAAUUUUAAGGGUUAAACAUGUCUUUUCACUUUAAUUAACAAACUCCGUUAAGUUUGACCGUUAGUUUUGGGGGUAAAGUGACUAAAAGAUAACAUUAAAGGGGAAAGUGAUAGUGGCACCAAACGUUAAGGGGGUAAAGUGAUAAUAACCCUUAAAUAAAUGACUAUAAGAACACUUAUCUAUAUAUUUUGCUGUUUCAGGUAAGUCUUCUUUUGGGAACUAUAAUACGGAAAAUUCCUUUGCCUACUGUGGAUGCAUCAAAGUCUAAUGCUUUUGAUGGCAAUGGUGAUUAUGUAUCAGUGUCUGAUGGGGUGCUUGAUAUGAAGCAACUUGAGACAAUUGGAAGCCACUUUUUGGAAGUCCUUCUGAAAAUGAAGCAUAAUGGUGCAAUUGAUAAAACAAGGGCUGGAUUCACUGCUCUUUGCAAUCGUUUACUUUGUUCGAACAAUCCGAGGUUUGCUCAUUGAGCUCUCCUAAGUAUUUUGCGGUUAUCAAUCUUUGUGGUGUCAUGUUUAAUUAUGUCAAGAAGAGUCAUUUUUCUUUGUUAACUGCUACAACCCAUGGCAUCUUGUGAGCUACUUUUGUAAUACUUUGAUUCUAGGGAAUAUGGUGGAAAUAUGAAAUGAAUUAAAAAGCCGAAUUUGGUUGAAGAGUUCUCAUCCUUAUUGAACUAUUUGGUUUUUGUUGACCAUUCUGCUUAGUAUUAGUUAUCUCUCUCCUGUGGAAAAUUGUUCUCAAUGUCAAUGAACUCCUUGUGAACUGAGAAUUAAUGCAUGCUUCUUUGCUAAUUAAGAUAUAGAGGUAAGUAAGUGUUAAUAAAAAUCUAUGACCAUCAAAUAAUAUGUUUUCCUUAAUCAGUUUUGUAUAGGACAUUUGCCAGAACAAAUACAUUAGUAUAGUAGUUUCGAACUUUAGGUUGUGUUUCUGUAUUUGAUGCUACUUAUUGUCAAGGCUAAUAUCCAUUGCAUAUUUUUGAGUGCCUUUAUUUUUUGAAUGUUUUGCCAUUCAAUGUACACAGCUAGCUAUACAUUCCUAAUCUUGUUCCUAGGCACAGUAACAAUUACCACAAACUUGGUCUUUUAUUUGGCUAGAGGGCUGAUUAUUAGUCUGUUACUUGUCUACCUAUGACUGGCAUCUGUAAGAUCUUCCUUGUUUCUUUGCUUUUAACUUGCCUGUUUGUUUGACAAGUUAAAAAACUUAACUUUUUCAAGUUUGAAAUGUGAGUUGGAAGCUGUUUAAGCUGUUUCUUCACGACAACCUUAAUGGAGAUUUAACAGCAUAGGAUUUACUUGUAAUAGCAGUCUUAAGUUUCUGCCCCUAUGCCAACUUUUGGAUCCUUUAAGUUGGUCAUUUUGAGUCUAUUGCAUAAUGUUGCUUCUCUUGUCACAGACUUUGCAAAUUAACAGAAUCCUGGAUGGAACAACUUAUGGAAAGAACAGUGACAAAGGGACAAACUGUAGAUGACCUACUGCGGAGAAGUGCUGGUAUUCCAGCUGCAUUUACUGCUAUCUUCCUUGCAGAGCCCGAGGGUUCCCCAAAGAGACUUCUGCCAAGGGCACUGCGAUGGCUGUUAGAUGUAGCCAACAAGUCUUUACUGGAACAGACUAAAGCAAGCAACUGCACUAAUGACUCAGCUGAUGCCCUUUUGACAAAUUCAAGUCAAGUUGGUCAAUUCGUUAUGCCCCUUGGGAUGGAUGCAAAAGAGAAAAUCUCAAAGAUCCGGGAUGAGGGUGUUGUCCCAACUGUCCAUGCAUUCAAUGUCCUUAGAGCCGCUUUUAAUGAUAGCAACCUGGCAACUGAUACAUCAGGCUUUUCAGCCGAGGCUUUGAUUUAUUCCAUACGCUCUUUCUCUUCGCCGUACUGGGAGGUGCGGAAUAGUGCCUGUCUUGCAUAUAGUGCUUUGAUUCGUCGCAUGAUUGGAUUCCUUAAUGUACAGAAACGAGAAUCAGAAAGGCGUGCUCUAACAGGGCUUGAAUUUUUUCACAGGUAUGCUUUGAAAAUUUGACUUUUAUGCCUUCAUGUGUCCUGUUACACUUUUUUCUGCCUCCUUCGAAUCUUUUGUGUCUACAUGUUGAAACCAGCAGCUAGAUUAUCUACUAAAUUUGUGGUCUUGGUACAUUUUCUCUUGAAAAGUGUAAUCAAGACUCAUUUCAACAACAUACUUGUGAAUCUGAAUAAACUCUGUGUUAUCCUUUGUAUAUCUUUUCAUGUUUGAUAGUUAUCUUUGAAAUGCUUCAUAUCACAAUGGAGGAAAAGUGAAGGUGUCAAAGUUUUUCCUAUGUGUAUUACUGUAUGAUCAACCAUGAUGUGCAUGGUUUUUUUGGUCACCCAGUGGAAUUGCUUAGCAGUUGUGUAUGUGCAGGAGAGAAGCAUGUUUUGUGUGUGCAACUUGGUCAAAAACUUGAUUUUUGAUAUUGCAGUAAUGUAUAUACUCUUACCAUUUCGUGGGAAUAUUAUACCUGCAUUCUUUGCCUAAUUUUAUGCUGAUCCUACGGAUGUCGACAGGGAAAGGAGUGUGUUGAAUUAGCAACAUGUUGUUUUCAGUAACUUCUGUUUUUCUGUUUGGCUAGUUGGUGCGUCUUUUUGGGGGUGGGGAUUGGUUUUGGGUAGUUGGCAAGGGAAACUGGGGGAUACAAUCUGCUGAGUUAGAUGAGUCCUUUGCUGAAACUUGAUUUUUGAAAUCAAAUUCUUGAAACAGUCAUGAGCUUUGAGUGGUAGAAGUGGUAUUCUGAAAUACUUCUGGCUGGCAUUGUUAACCAGGAUAGACAGAGAGAGUGAUUAAUGCAAUUACAUGAAAGCACGGUCUUAAUCAUGUUUUUUUUGAAACAGUUGGUUCUUAUGUUGCAUAUUGCAUCUUCCUUUAUCAUUCACAAGUUAAUUAGUUGAUAUUUCCAGCAUAGAACUUUUGCAUCCCUAGUUCCUUCUGGUUUUAAUGUCUUCUCUUCCAUUACUAGAAUUUGGCAUUGCUAAUCUAGUGCCUAUACCUUUUACAUGUGGAUGCGUGAGUGCUGGAACAAGUCUUGAGUAUUUCUUUCAUCCUUUUAGUUAAUUUGGAGCAUUCCAAUUACAUUACUAGGGUCCAUAGAUUUUUUAUCUCUUUUUAUUUUUGGUUCUGCUAACUGAUCUUUAAAUUCUUCCUAUUUUGAAGAGUUGCAGAUUAAAGUCAAAAAAGAAUUUCGCAAGCUUGAACCAUUAUUGCAAUCUAUUUUUGCAGUUCCAUUAUCAAGACUAUAUGAUUGUACACAAUUGCUUACAAUGUCCUAAGAUAUCUCAUUAAUUGCUUGCUUUUUGUUACAGGUACCCUACACUGCACUCUUUCCUAUUUCAUGAACUUAAAAUUGCAACAGAGUCGCUUUUGGAUGGGUCUUCUGGACAACAAGGAUCUAAUUUGGCAAAACUUGUGCACCCAAGCUUGUGCCCAAUUCUGAUUCUGUUGUCACGGCUAAAACCUUCAGCAGUUACAAGUGAAGCUGGGGACAGUUUGGACCCUUUCAUAUUCUUGCCAUUCAUCAGGAAGUGCUCUGUCCAAAGCAAUUUCCGUAUCCGAAUUCUUGCUUCCAGAGCUCUAACGGGCCUGAUAUCGAAUGAGAAAUUGCCCAUUGUGCUGCUUAAUAUUGCCUCUGAGUUACCUUGCACAAGGAAUGUCUCUUCUGAUGCAUCCAACUCAAUUGACACACAAAAUGGUACUUGCCAUACUUUUAAUUCACUUCAUGGGAUGCUGCUGCAGUUGAACACGCUUCUCGAUAACAAUUGUAGAUGCCUUGCUGAUUCCUCCAAAAAAGAUGCAAUUCUGAAGGAUCUGAUUGAAAUUCUUGCAAUACGUUCAUGGAUUGGUAAGUUUCAACUCUGCCCUUGCCCUAUCCUGAAUAGCUGCUUUCUUGGGGUACUGGAUAACAUGCUCAGUAUUGCAACAACGUGUCAAAUGAGCAGAAGUAUUGCUGCUAUUUGGAACCUCGUAUGGGAGUUAUCUUCAGAAUUUUUGGAUUUAGAAGAACCUCAGAAAUUGUCAUAUCAUGAUCCAACUAUUGUAGAACUUCGCAAACAAGCAGCAGUGUCAUAUUUCAAUUGCUUAUACAAAACGUCUAAGGAAAUUGCUGAAGAGGAUAUUUUGAUGCCUGGAACAUGUUCCUCAACUGCUUCAAGUUUGUUAAGAGUAUCUGAUUUGGACAGUGCUCUCUCAAGAUUUCAGGAAAGGCUGAGAGGCUGCAUGUCUGACACAUCAUACGAAGUUCGUCUUGCAACUUUCAAGUGGCUAGUUUUAUUUCUGAAAUCAGCAGGAUUAAAAAUUGAAGGAGGCAAUUCAUCUUCUCAUGAGAUCAAGACAUAUUUGUUGUACAAUAUUGAUCUCCAGAAAAAACUAGUGGAGCUUCUAGCGACCGAGAAUAACCAUAAAUGCACAUAUUACAUUCUUAAAAUUAUCUACAUGUGGAACAUGUUGGAAUGUGAAGAAAAGGGUGAACUAGAUGUCAGCCUUGGAUCAAUUGGUGUGGAUCGCAGUUCAUUGUGGUGGUUUUGGGACAAGUUAGUGUCCAUGUACAAGGUCACUAGACAUUCAAAGAAUCGACAAGUGCUCAUCUGCUGCAUGGGGAUAUGUGUAAAGCAGUUUGCUAGCAUAUUCUCAAGCUUUGUUUGCUCUAACAUGAAGAAGGAAGAGAUAGCCAUAUCCAGCCGAUAUGAUCUUGAUGGGAGACUCUCCAAGUUUUACGAUUGCAUCAAUUAUUUUGUUGAACUAAUACAACUACACAGUUCUGCAUCAGAGCCUGUAAAUAUGCGGAACGCAGCUGCAGAAUCAAUAGUUGCAUCUGGUUUACUUGAUCAUGCAAAGAUAGUUGGUUCUUUAGCCUUCAGUAACAGCAUUCCAGGCGAAAAUCCUAGUUCAGAAUUCAAAGUAGAGGAGGUUGUGAACAUAUAUGGCCAUAAGAUUCUGAAUCUAUGGUUGACAUGCGUAAGACUUUUGGAGGAUGAAGAUGUGGAACUCAGAAGGAAGCUUGCCCUUGAUGUUCAGAAGAGUGUUACAUCCACAACGUGUCAAAAUGUUGAACUGGUUCCCAGCCAAGUGGAGAAGGUUAUUGAGAUGAGUUUUGACCAUCUCUCUUCAAUCUUUGGUCACUGGAUUGACUACUUUGAUAGUCUCUGCAAUUAUGUUUUUAAUGCUGUAAACUCUGUGGUCAGUGUUGUGCCAAGAGGAGACCUUGUGAGACGUGUUUUUGACAAGGAGAUUGAUAACCAUCAUGAAGAAAAGCUAUUGAUCUGUCAGAUUUGUUGCUCUCACUUGGAGAAGCUUCCAAUUUCUAAAUCUUGGGCAGCUAACUCCUCUGACAAUCACAGGGUAAGGGACCUUUUACGUGGUUGGAGGAGGAGAUUUUGCCACUACUUGACAUCAUUUGCCAAUGACUCUAUUGGCCGACGGGAAGUUGAUUGGAUUGGUGGCGCCGGUAACCAUAAGGAUGCAUUUUUACCCUUGUAUGGAAAUUUACUAGCCUUCUUUGCCCUGUCAAAUUGUAUCUUUGAGGGGGAGAAAGAGAGGAGCAAGUCCAUGCUAGAUGAAGUUUCUGUGCUUGGCAGGACUCUGCGUCCAUUUCUUAGAAACCCGAUGAUAUGCAACCUAUAUUUGUUAGUGAUUGAUUCACAUGAGAAAAUGGUCGGCGCAACUGCUAGUGAUAUGAACAAAAGCUUGAUAGGAAAUUCUUCCGACUGGGAAGGUUUCAAUCCUUAUUUUCUCCUUAGGUGUGAAGUAUAAUCUUUUGUAAUUCUAAUUCCAUGAUCUGUACGCAAAGGGAUCGCAGCCAUAUCUUUUGGGAGUUAGGAGCCUCCCAAAGUUGUAGAGACCUUUUGAGUUUGCUACAUAUCUAAUACAUGUAUAACUUGCUCUAUAAUUUCCGCGAAUAUCUCUUCAUUACACACAGAGGGAUUUCUUUAUUGCUGCAUUUUUCUGUUUUACUCGGCGCCAUCUCCAUUUCGAAGGCGGAUUUCCAAUUUUUUUUUUUGGGGUAAAACUUCCUACACACACACUGCCCAACCAUUUUUCUUCUUUAAUUUAAAUCACGAAUAAAGGUGCUACAGUAAUAUUUUCCUAUUUACCCAUCUAAUCGAUCCGAUAUCGGACUGGAUAUUUAGACCACAUAAUAGAAUGGAAUCGUGUUCAUGAGACAUCACAUCCGAUCAAAUUGGUACCCUUCUAGGUAUUUCAGGAAGGCCACCGGACCUCUACCCUUGGUGUUUUUGACCCUGGAUAUAAGUUAAGAAACCUUAAACAGAACAUUUGCAUAUAAUAACUAAGGCCAUGACUACACUUGUGUAAAUCUCUUCAUAGCAGAAGAGAGAACUCUGCAGGAGGUACGUGCAGCUACAGUAAUAAAAAUUUUCCCAAGUGAUUAGUCGGAAAUAACUGAAAUUUGUGCUUGCCAUUACAAAUUUGCAAAAUACCAACAAAAGAGAGAUGCAAAAAUAACUAUCAAGUGUCAUCCUCCUCGUUGCCAUCCUCAUCAUCAUCUUCCUCAUCAUCAUCACCUUUUCCCUUAAUUAAAGAUGAGGAAAUAGACAUUAGACGCGGGCAGUAAAGGAAAGGAAAUAAAAAGGCAAAUGAUAUUUGCACUCUAGGCACUCCACACUUGCUCAUUUUCGUUUAAAGUGACAAAAAGACCCAUAACCUAGAAUCCUUGACUAUUUGAAUAACAAAAUUGCCCCCAAAGGCAUAGUAAAUGCAUAGAGGGGCAAUUUCGUCUCUUUAAAUAAUUUAUAGGUUUUUUGUGUCAUUUCAUUAACUGAUAAGCGAAGAUAGGGUGCAAGGAGCUUAUCUUGGAGUGCCAAUAUCAUUUGCCGUAAAAAAUGAACUAAAUUGUAACAGAUUAUAGAAAAAUGUUACAAGCAGUUGUAGCAGUUGACAAAUAGCACAGAAGCCAAUAUUUACAGCUCAAAAACAAGAAGGAGUCCAUGCACCAAAUACCACGAAACAGAGCUAACAGGAAGUGAAACACCAGAACUUCUCCUACUUCUGUAUUGCCACCAUAGCCAGAGUUAUCUGACCUCUGCUUUCAAAGAUAAGACCCAAGAGACUUAAAUCUGUUUCUUAUUUACUACUUAGCAUGUACUUCUUACAAAACACAACAGAUGUCAGAAUUGGAACAAAAAAGUGAAGAGAAGUCAUGAAGGUACAAGUAAAUUGGUAACCAUCCAUAUGACAACAUCAAAUAACAGAAAAGUGGCCUUUGAUAUGGAUAUUGGCAGCUUAUUAUAAAAGAAAGUGAAAACUAAAGAAAGCAGAUUGGUGUUAUAUGUCAACCUGGUCCUCUGAGUUCGUAACUAAAUGAUCACCAACUCAAGAAACAAAUCUCAACUCUUGGAUGAAUAUCCAUAGAAGUUAUGGUACUGAUAAAAUUGGAACUGGGGGACUAAAAUUUAGUCAAAUCCAGGAGAGAGGGUGCAUGAGUUAGUAAAUGAGAAGCUUUUCUAGGUUCUAAAGUGCCUGCCUGUUUCCAUGGGUUCCACAAAAUGUAAAAAAGCAAAAGCGUUGAUUUAUACCUCUUCAUCAUCCUCUUCUCCCUCGGAAUCCUCUUCAUCAGCUUCCUAUCAAAUCAAAAUAUGAAUUCUGUAAGCAAGGAGAAAGAGCUAUAAAUCAGAAAAAAGGAACAGUCAAAAUGGAUUUUACAUUGUUGAAAUAUUUCAGAGGGUUUGGCCAUAAAUCCUCCUUAAUUAUCUCUGCCACCUGCAUGUUUAAAGUAGAUGACAGAUAGAAUGAGAACAGGGAAGAAACCAUACUUCUUUAUUCAUCUAGAGCUACAAAGAUCACAAUAAAGUGAUCAUUAGAAGUAACAACUUGAAAGCCAGCCAAAAGUGUCAACCAUAUAUAUUACUACAUUUUACCACAAACAAAAAUAGCUAAUAAAGUUCUUAUAAUUGUAUGGAGAAUGAAUGUGAAAAGGCUUCAUAAAUUCAACAAGUAAUUACCUCAUCAUUAAGCCCCUCUACCUCAAGCGUAUCUUUUUGUUGUGUUUCAGAAAACCAACUAAAGAAGCUGCAUUGACAAUGCCCAAAAAAAAAAAAAAUGGUGAACUCUAGAUCAUACUUUCAGUUUAAGGGAAACAUACAGGACCUUUAGUAGAUAACUUAUAGCUUUCAACAGGUAAGUGACAUCAAUUCAUCAGAUGGUCACAACAAGAUAAAGGUGAGAAGCAUAUAUGCAGAUUUGCAUGUGCUUAACAAUUGGAAGACCAUGAAGAUUUUCCUCUUCACAAUCACAAUUGGACUUAAAAUAUAGUCCGGACUUGAGUUGCAGUUUCUAAAGAAGAGAUUUUCACUUGGUCAAUGCUCAGCUAGAAUACUAAGCAUAGCUAUUCAAGCUAAAAUGUCAGUCAACACCAUGGUCAAUGAAAAGCAUAAUCAGCAGUUGGAGCUCAAUAUGUAUCUACUAUACAUUAAACAACUUUUACAAUCUAAAACAUGCAUGCAACAAUGACGUUAACAUCUCCCUAAAUUCCUAACAGUUGGAUAAUUAUUAUCCUUAGCUCCAUGUGGUCAUCUAUAAGUUGAAGAUGCUAACAUCACAAAGCGUAUUUAUUUUCCAUGUCCAAAAAGCCAAUCAUCUGAUAUAGAGUCUAGGGAAAAAUCUGAAUAGAAAUGCAUUAAUUAGCAGAAAAUACCUGUCAUCAGAUGCUGGUCGUUUAUUUCCUUUCUUUUCAUGACUGCCUCCAUUUGCAGCCCCCUUCAAUUUUUUGAAGUUGUAGAAUUCAAAAUUAUAUACAAUAAAGGAUUCAAACUGCCCAAGAAGGAAUAUAUAUUCAAAUUAUUACCAUGCCUUCCUUCCACUUGAUAGCUGUACCAAUUAUCCUUGUUGUUCCUUCAUCUAAGAAGAUAAAUGUCUUUGUCAGCUUCGUAUCUUCAAAAUAUGGGUUUUGCUUGAAAUUCUGAAGAUCAAAAGCAAGAUUUCAGGUAAGAAUACAAGUACAAUACAUAGAUCAAUAACCAGCCUGCAAUGUCAAUUGUCCAUUUGUUUUUCUGAAGGAUGAAAGUUUCACGAGUAAAAGAAGAAACACACAAAUGUAAUUGAGUAACCCGAUUUCACAUCCUUAAAAUCCUCCACAUCAAGCGAAUCCAAAUAUUUGAAAAUCUGCAUAAGAAAUAAAUGUACAACCAAAUAAUCAGUGGCUAACAUUCACUAAAGAUGGUCAAGAAAAAAUAAAUUUAUCCUCCUAUGCUUAUAUCAGGAGGGUAAAUUGAAUGGCAAACUAAUCAGACCAAGUCAAAAGGUAAACUGAAAGGAAAAUCCUUUGGACUCCCAACCAAAAAUUUCCAAUCCACUAAAUUUCUAAGCACGUUGCAUACCUUCUGAUCCUCCUCAUUCAACAGAUCACCAAGCGCUGGAUGACUCAAAAACUGCAGGAAAAAGUAAAUUAAUAAAAAAUAAAUAACUAAAAGGAUCCCCUAAUAAGUUUCAACUUCAUUGAAAUUAGAAAAGGGAUGGCUUUGUAACUCACAGCAGUCAACCAAAAGUCAGGAAUUGUCUUUAUGAUCUCGCUUCUUCGGACAUAAACAGGCCUCCGUAAUUCAUUGUACUUCUGUUCAAUUUCCAGUACUUUGUCACUGGCAUCUUCAUUUACCUGCAAAGAAUAAGUCUUUUAGUCAAGCCCCACUUCCGCGCAAAGAAUCCCAGGCAGGAAAGAAUUAAGAGAAGAAUUCAUCUGGAAGUGUCUAAUCAACUUUUGUUUUUUUCUGUCUCCCUUAUUUAUUUAGCCAUCUUUCCUAAUUCCUGGGUGUCAAUUCUUUACCAUAUCAGCAUAUAUACUUGCCAGAAAAUUUCCAGGUCCACAUACAUCAUAUCAAGAUCAAACUAACUGGCUACAUGUAUAAACAAUUCCCAUCUUUGUAUGUCUACAUAAAUAUAUCUACUUACAAAAAUCUACACAGAAUGAAAUAAUUCAACAGCCUGUCUAACAGAUCAUAAUAUGAUAAAGAAGACCUGAUGGAAAGGCAAAAGGAUCCAAUCCAAGACACGAUUAUGCAUGCAUAAAUACAUGUAUUGAUGUAUGUCAGGGGGAUCCAAAAACGUUCUUCAGCUCAUCUUGGACAUCCCUAACUUUCUUAGUUUUAGCAGAAAGUUCAGCACGCUGAACAGGAUCUUCCUCAUCGCUAUCUCCAUGAAUGCUCGAUUUCUUUCCAGGAAAUGCAGCCAUACUUUUGUUGGAGAUAGUGAGGCAAAUAGAAAUUCUCAGGCCAAAAAAUCUUGCGGGUUUGUGAUUGUAAAUAACUUGCACUUUCAGGAGAACAUACUAUUGGCACACAGAACAGGUGGAUGGUGGAUGUCAAGUCAAAAAAAGCAAGGUCAACAUGUUUAAGUAUGCUCCUUCAGAUGUGCAAAUUCAGGGAAGAAAAAAUUUCACAUCUGUUAUGAGCAUCAUUGUCCAACCAUUCAUCCUUUCAAAUUUCAGCAAAAAAGAGUUAAUGUAUAUAUCUUUGCUAACAUCUACAGUGUAAGAGUUAGCAGGAAGGAACUACAUCAGUUUUCUCAUAUAUUAACCUUGAUUAACACCAAAAAAAUGAGGCAACAACUACAAAAACAUUAUCAAGUACUCGCCCACUCCACAAACAAUUUUUCCUUGUAGAAGACAGAAGUCAACAUAUUAACUAGCAUCUGUACAAGGAUCAAGGAAAAACAAAUACUCCCUCCGUCCCACUUUGAUAAUCUUGGUUCUUUUUUCACACAGUUUAAGAAAAAGUAGUUAACUUUGUUGAAACAAUCAAUUUAGGUAGCUAUUUUCCUAAAAUACCCUCACAUUAAUUAGAGUACAACUUUAUGGGAACUUGAAUUGAUGGUAAAAAAAGAAUAAACUCUCGUUAAAUGGGGUAAGUUUAUAGUAACAACAACUUACAUUGAACAAGGGUAUUUUAAAAAAAUUAAAAUACAACUACAUUCUUCAAUUGGAAAGUGGACUACAAUUUGGGACAGACGAAACAGGAAAACAUGACUAUCAAAGUGGGACGGAGGGAGUACAAGAAGAUUUUCACGUGCAUAAUUCUGUGCCUUCAAAAAUUAUCCUUUCCAACAAAAAUAAAACUGCAUACAAAGCCUUUUCCUCUUUAUUUCCAUUCGUUGCACCGAAACACUACAACAUUUUGCAAGGCAAACAGGGAUCACCUUUUGUAGAAAUAAACCGCUAGAAAAGUUAUAAUUGAGAGGAAGAAAAAUUAAGUAGAUAUGUAGGGGGAGAUGGGAAACAGAGGAGACCAAAACUAAAAUCAAAUUUUUUUAAUUUUGCCAAGUAAAGGAAAAGUAUUCAUUAGAAUAUUAACCUAAAAUGUGGUCUGUUUCCAUCAAACUAAAAAGUACCUUUCGCCUGAUAGGAGGGGAUAAGGAGAAGUAACAAUUGGAGGUGGGGGUAAUAAAAAUUAUAUUGCUAAUCUAAUUAAAAACUAUCAGAAGAAGCAAAUGCAAGGCAAGGAGCUUCUUGUAUCUGCAGCGAUCAACAGAUGAGUGUAUAGAAGGACCAAUUUGUACUUGCUUAAGCUCUAGCAUCUAAAUAUCAGCCGUCCACAACUCAACCCAACCCUCCAAUGUAUUGACGUAAAAACCCUAGUGGCUCUCAUCUAUGACCAUGCAGAUGUUAGUAAUUCCACGAACAAAAUCCCAAUAUGUGAAACUAGUACUGGUUCAUUCACGAUAAUGAUGACAAUUUUUUCUAAUAGAAAACUAGAAACGUUUAGUAUAAAUUAUGCAAAAGGAAAAAAAAAUAUACCUUUUCAAGCUCGUCCUGGACUUCUUGAAGCUUCUCGAUAGAGAGAACAAGCUCGCCAUCAAUGGGAUCGGAGUCUUCCUCCGCUGGAGCGGCCACCUUGGAUUUCUUUCCUCGCUCAGCCACCAUCUGUUUGUUUAGAGAAUGAAAGGAAACCCUAGGCGGGUUGUAGGCAGUUAAGCUUAAGCUUCAACCCCUGGAUUGGAUUGGUGGAAUGAGGAGUGGGGAUUGUAUGAAGCGGCAGAGUGAAGGGAGUCCAACUUCUUUUCGAGGGCAGAGACAACAAUUAAAUGAAAAUAUGUGGGCAAAUGUUUUUAAGUUACUUGUUCACCAUUUUGUGUCUAAGCUCUGCUAGUACUCAAUCGAAGCUAAUUUAUGGUCACAAACAUUCUCUUACCAUCAAUGAAAGGUUUUGGACAUAUAUAUACUGUAAAUCUUGCAUAAAAUUGAAGGUGUAUACAUUAUCGCGGUUGGAUAUAUGAUAUAUAUACAUAAUUUAAAUUUCAAAUUCAAAUUCAAAUAAUCUGUCAUGAAUUUUAUGAUGAAAGUGCAUAUACUGUUAAUACAAAAGAACGGCGCAAAAACUAUGCUAAUAUAAAAAACAACAGGAUGAAGAUAUCAGAACCAACAAUGAGCACCAACAACAUCAUCAGAUCCUCGAAUUAAGUCUAAUAAGAUAAAUCUAAUUAGUAGUUAGAAAAUAAUUUUUAUUACGAAUGUCUAACUCUAAGAUUGUAACUACCUCUUUCAAACAUAAGGGCGAUAUAAUAUAUCCUAGCAUACUCAUUGGAGUUUUUUUUCGCCUCUUUAUAUGAUCAUAUAGUAUAAUCAUGUAAUAGUAUCUCUUUUUUUUUUUCAGUGAAGGAUCAAUAGUAAUUGUAAGUUUUGUCGGGAUGAUUCCUUCGGAAAAAAAAAAUAAUGACUUGUGUUUUAGUCCUCUAUGUUAUGGCCUCUUCAAUUGAUUCUUUAUUGUUUAGAUUUGACUUAAUUUUCAGAUAUUCUUCUGACUUAUUUCAUUUUUAGUUCCCGUUGGCGUUGUAUUUGAAUGCUAAUUGAUCCUUAAAUCCGUAUUGACUUUUUUUGUAGUAUGCUUUGAGGCGUCCUCCUUCAAAAUCAAGCAUAAAAGAUGCAUGGAUCCUAUGUAUAUAUCGUGGAGUCAUUGGCAUGCUAAUCAAGAAGCCAAACUAUGCAAUUUCGGUACUCAGCUCUAUUCUGUUAUUAAUCGUUAGUUCCCCACUUCUUUUUUUUUUUUUUUGGAGAGGGAGAGCAGUAGAAUAAUAAGAUUAAUAGAGAUAAUAAUAUUUCUCUCAAAUAGUUUGUUUUAUUGAAGGGAACAAAACCCAAAAUAAGCACAACAUGAGUUGAUCUAGCAAAUCUAUGAGUGGAUGGUAUGCUUGGAACUUUCACAUAACCACAGUGGUAAUCAGUAAGGUCUAAACGUAUACUAUGGUGAUGACUCCAGCCCAAGCACCCUUCCAAUUAUUUAUGAUCCAUCAUAUCGAUCUCUCGCAGUAUCCAUCUCAAGGAAUGCUGGAAAUCAAACACAGGAGACGAAAAGACAAAUUCCGGUUAGCGAGAAAACGUAAUAAUAAUUACAGUACUAUAUUAGUAGUACGCAUCAAAAAAGAAUGAUGACGGUCCAAAUCAAAACCAAAAGCAGCAAAAAGAAAAAAAGAAAAAAAAAAAAGAAACACUAAGCGCAGCACCUGUUGCAGUUAGUACUAGAAGAGAUGGGGAAAGGCAAGGAGACACCACACCGUCCAGGAAGGCUUGUGGCAGCAUCCGGCUUGAGAUUUGGGAAGUGGCCGGCGGCAGACUUGACGCAGUUGCAUGCAGUUCGCCUAUCUUGUUGGGUAGGGAUGCUCCCCAAGUUUUUCACUCCACUACAGCAUGAACUUGAUGGAGUGCCUCCUUGGGUGAGAUACGGCACGCAAGGCUCAAGUUCGUGGGUAACUUGUUCACAGGUGAUUGCUUCACCUGGCCUUGCCACCAAGACUAGCACCAGAACAAGACUUACCACUGCAACCACCUUCAUCAUGUUUUCGCCGGAUCAACUAGUAGUAUACGAUUUGCGCGGAAUAUACUCGAGUGAGAGGGGU
rnacentral:lncRNA from 1 species